AGCCGGAGGAGGAGGGCCUAGGCAGGCCCAAAAUGGAGGCCGAGGGAGACCCUUCCUCGCCCAGCCCAACAAGGGCUCCAACAACUAUCUAUGCGGGCUUCCAUCUGGGGAGACUGAGGCCUCCAAAGACCCCCUCCUCAGCCCCAAGGCUUUCCCACAAACAAUGGCUCGAAGAUGUGGAAUUCUGGGAAGGGGGAGGCUGAGGAGGGGGAAUGGGGGCUGAGGGAGACCCCUCCCUCCAGCCCCAAGGCACUGCAGAAAAGUAAUCCAGUUUGACAUCGUUUUAAUUGCUGUGCCUCACAGCUAUGGAAUUCUGGGAAUUAUAAAGGAGCAUCCUUCUUGGCCAAUGGUUGUCCAUCCUCUGCUUCAAUGCCUCCAGUGAAGGAGAACUUCAGGCCUUCCAAGGAAACCUGUUCCAAUACCAAACAUUUGUCUCCAGAUGUUGAAGUUAAACGCUCCCAGCUCCUUCAACUUUUUCUCCUAGGGCUUCUUUUUCAGACCUCUUGCCAUCCUGGUUUCCCACAUCCGGACCACAGUUCAGGAAAGAUUGAUUUGGACUAUACAUCCCAGACCCUCAGUCAGUAUGGCAAUGGUGGCUAGGAGAAUUAUAGGAUCUGGCAUUCCAAAUGUAACUUCUUACAAACGAUGCUGUGGACACACUCUAGGUUUUUCUUUUUAUAUAUCCUUUGUUAAAAUGUGGUUUCCAAAACAGAAACUCUUGUCGUAUAAACCAGGGGUGGGAAUAAUGUGGUUUUCCACAUGUUGGAUCGCAGCUCCCAGCAUUCCUUACUCCUGGCUAUGAGGAGAGGGCUGGAGGGAGUUGUAGUCCAAUAUUAUUAUAACUAUUAUUGUUUUAUGUAUUUAUAUCCUGCCUUCCUUCCGGUACAGGGACUCAAGGCUGCAUCUGGAGGACUGCAUAGUUUCUACCCUUGGCUUAAAUUGUCUUUAAAAAUGUAUAAUUUAUGCAGGUUAGAUGGGUGCUUGACAUUAUUGGGAAGGAGUGUGGUCUUAUACACCAACAUUUUAUGAAUUUGAGGAGGGAGGAACAGUCGGACCUCUACAUUUGCUGAUUUGGCUUUUGCAGGUUUGUUAUUUAUGGUUUGGAUUAAUACGUUCUCUCUAGGAAUCUCUAGGUCCUCCAGUGGCCUGUU